rnacentral:rRNA from 1 species
GCGUAAUAGCUCACUGGUCUAGUGAUUUUGCGCGGAAAAUAUAACGGGGCUAAAGUAAGUACCGAAGCUGUAGACUUAGUUUACUAAGUGGUAGGAGAGCGUUCUAUUUGCGUCGAAGGUAUACCGGUAAGGAGUGCUGGAGCGAAUAGAAGUGAGCAUGCAGGCAUGAGUAGCGAUAAUUAAUGUGAGAAUCAUUAACGCCGUAAACCCAAGGUUUCCUACGCGAUGCUCGUCAUCGUAGGGUUAGUCGGGUCCUAAGUCGAGUCCGAAAGGGGUAGACGAUGGCAAAUUGGUUAAUAUUCCAAUACCAACAUUAGUGUGCGAUGGAAGGACGCUUAGGGCUAAGGGGGCUAGCGGAUGGAAGUGCUAGUCUAAGGUCGUAGGAGGUUAUACAGGCAAAUCCGUAUAACAAUACUCCGAGAACUGAAAGGCUUUUUGAAGUCUUCGGAUGGAUAGAAGAACCCCUGAUGCCAUCGAGCCAAGAAAAGUUUCUAAGUUUAGCUAAUGUUGCCCGUACCGUAAACCGACACAGGUGGGUGGGAUGAGUAUUCUAAGGCGCGUGGAAGAACUCUCUUUAAGGAACUCUGCAAAAUAGCACCGUAUCUUCGGUAUAAGGUGUGGUUCGCUUCGUAUUAGGAUUUACUCCGAAAGCGAAGAAACUUACAACAAAGAGUCCCUCCCGACUGUUUACCAAAAACACAGCACUCUGCUAACUCGUAAGAGGAUGUAUAGGGUGUGACGCCUGCCCGGUGCUCGAAGGUUAAUUGAUGGGGUUAGCAUUAGCCAAGCUCUUGAUCGAAGCCCC